AGAGUUUGAUCCUGGCUCAGGAUAAACGCUGGCGGCGCACAUAAGACAUGCAAGUCGAACGGAAGUCGUUAUGAUGAUUUCAAUAUAGACAGAGAACUUGUUCGAAGAAAAUAGAGAUUGACUUAUAACAAUGGCUUUAGUGGCGGACUGGUGAGUAACACGUGAGCAACCUGCCUAUCAGAGGGGAAUAACAGUGAGAAAUCAUUGCUAAUACCGCAUAUGCCAUAAACAUCACAUGAUGAAAGUGGGAAAGGAGUAAUCCGCUGAUAGAUGGGCUCGCGUCUGAUUAGAUAGUUGGUGGGGUAACGGCCUACCAAGUCGACGAUCAGUAGCCGGACUGAGAGGUUGAACGGCCACAUUGGGACUGAGAUACGGCCCAGACUCCUACGGGAGGCAGCAGUCGGGAAUAUUGCGCAAUGGAGGAAACUCUGACGCAGUGACGCCGCGUAUAGGAAGAAGGUUUUCGGAUUGUAAACUAUUGUCGUUAGGGAAGAUACAAGACAGUACCUAAGGAGGAAGCUCCGGCUAACUACGUGCCAGCAGCCGCGGUAAUACGUAGGGAGCAAGCGUUAUCCGGAUUUAUUGGGUGUAAAGGGUGCGUAGACGGGAAGGCAAGUUAGUUGUGAAAUCCCUCGGCUUAACUGAGGAACUGCAACUAAAACUACUUUUCUUGAGUGUUGGAGAGGAAAGUGGAAUUCCUAGUGUAGCGGUGAAAUGCGUAGAUAUUAGGAGGAACACCGGUGGCGAAGGCGACUUUCUGGACAAUAACUGACGUUGAGGCACGAAAGUGUGGGGAGCAAACAGGAUUAGAUACCCUGGUAGUCCACACCGUAAACGAUGAUUACUAGGUGUGGGGGGACUGACCCCUUCCGUGCCGGAGUUAACACAAUAAGUAAUCCACCUGGGGAGUACGGCCGCAAGGUUGAAACUCAAAGGAAUUGACGGGGGCCCGCAC
rnacentral:rRNA from 1 species